rnacentral:misc_RNA from 1 species
CCACAAUCCAGUGUCAAGAAAGAAGUCAACUUUUCUUCCCCUAUUUCCCUGCAUUUCUCCUCUGUGCUCACUGCCACACGCAGCUCAACCUGAGCUACACAGCCAGAUGCGAGAUGCUUCUCUGCUGAUCUGAGUCUGCCUGCAGCAUGGACCUUGGUCUUCCCUGAAGCAUCUCCAGGGCUGGAGGGACGACUGCCAUGGGCUGAGUCUGGGCCCCCGGACCCACGUGCAGGCAGGGACCCUCCCCAAGCCCACACUCUGGGCUGAGCCAGGCUCUGUGAUCACCCAGGGGAGUCCCGUGACCCUCUGGUGUCAGGGGAUCCUGGAGACCCAGGAGUACCGUCUGUAUAGAGAAAAGAAAACAGCACCCUGGAUUACACGGAUCCCACAGGAGAUUGUGAAGAAGGGCCAGUUCCCCAUCCCAUCCAUCACCUGGGAACACACAGGGCGGUAUCGCUGUUUCUACGGUAGCCACACUGCAGGCUGGUCAGAGCCCAGUGACCCCCUGGAGCUGGUGGUGACAGGAGCCUACAUCAAACCCACCCUCUCAGCUCUACCCAGCCCUGUGGUGACCUCAGGAGGGAACGUGACCCUCCAUUGUGUCUCACAGGUGGCAUUUGGCAGCUUCAUUCUGUGUAAGGAAGGAGAAGAUGAACACCCACAAUGCCUGAACUCACAGCCCCGUACCCAUGGGUGGUCCCGGGCCAUCUUCUCUGUGGGCCCCGUGAGCCCGAGUCGCAGGUGGUCGUACAGGUGCUAUGCUUAUGACUCGAACUCUCCCCAUGUGUGGUCUCUACCCAGUGAUCUCCUGGAGCUCCUGGUCCUAGGAGGGAGAACGUGACUUCCUCCAGCUCCCUGGCCCACAGCCCCAGGCUGGGCUCUCCCAGGCCAACUUCACCCUGGGCCCUGUGAGCCGCUCCUACGGGGGCCAGUACAGAUGCUCCGGUGCAUACAACCUCUCCUCCGAGUGGUCGGCCCCCAGCGACCCCCUGGACAUCCUGAUCGCAGGACAGUUCCGUGGCAGACCCUUCAUCUCGGUGCAUCCGGGCCCCACGGUGGCCUCAGGAGAGAACGUGACCCUGCUGUGUCAGUCAUGGGGGCCGUUCCACACUUUCCUUCUGACCAAGGCGGGAGCAGCUGAUGCCCCCCUCCGUCUCAGAUCAAUACACGAAUAUCCUAAGUACCAGGCUGAAUUCCCUAUGAGUCCUGUGACCUCAGCCCACUCGGGGACCUACAGGUGCUACGGCUCACUCAGCUCCAACCCCUACCUGCUGUCUCACCCCAGUGACUCCCUGGAGCUCAUGGUCUCAGGAGCAGCUGAGACCCUCAGCCCACCACAAAACAAGUCCGAUUCCAAGGCUGGAGCAGCUAACACCCUCAGCCCAUCACAAAACAAGACUGCCUCACACCCCCAGGAUUACACAGUGGAGAAUCUCAUCCGCAUGGGCAUAGCUGGCUUGGUCCUGGUGGUCCUCGGGAUUCUGCUAUUUGAGGCUCAGCACAGCCAGAGAAGCCUCUGAGAUGCAGCCGGGAGGUGAACAGCAGAGAGAAGAAUGUACCCUUCAGAGUGGUGGAGCCUUGGGAACAGAUCUGAUGAUGCCAGGAGGUUCCGGGAGACAAUUUAGGGCUGAUGCUAUCUGGACUGUCUGCCAAUCAUUUUUAGAGGGAGGAAUCAGUGUUGGAUUGCAGAGACAUUUUCUGGAGUGAUCCAUGAAGGACCAUUAACAUGUGAUACCUUUCCUCUCUAUUAAUGUUGACUUCCCUUGGUUGGAUCCUCUUCUUUCCCCACCCCCAGACAGACAUGAGGCUACAUCCCACAUGGCAGCGUUGGGUCCACACCUCUGCACAUCUGUGUGCUCUGGUCCAUGGUGUGUAACACAGUCUUCUUUAUUACUCAUUGCCAUACUCCCUGGUGUGCUUUACUGAGCCUCCAUCUCUUCAAUUCAGAGUUCCAAACGUGCUUCAGUAACUAAAUCAAUGGGAGAGUAUCGGAUUUCAACCAGGAAAAGAUAAAUCCACCCUGAUGCCCUGACACCCUCUCUGAACCCUACGAGCCCUUCCCUCCUUCUCACAUGCUACCUGUGCAGCUUCUCCUUAGAUCAUUGUGUAACCAUCACUGCCAUCCUGUUCCACACAUGGUCAUCACCCUACACCCAUUCAGCAGCCACUCCCCAUUCCCUCUUCCCUCCAGCACCUGCUAACCACAAAUGUGCUUUCUGUCUCUACGGAUUUGCCUAUUCUGUCUGAAAACAUUUCAAUCUCCUUUGACCUGUGAGCUCCUCACUUCGAGACUUCCUGCCUUUCCAGGCAGAACCAAAGUACACCACGUCAAAAGCAAUGAUAGGCAUUUGCAGUGUGUUGGUGAUCCACGAAAGGAAAAUCACGGAAGCAGGAUAGAAAUCCAGCUGCAGACAAGACCUCAGGUCGAUGAAUCUUGACAAGCAGUUGAGCUGUUUUUUUCUACUCACCUAGGACAGUCAGGCAGAAGUAUGCAAAAUGACUGGGGCUGAUUCUUUUCUGAAUUGUCGCAAACAGCAAGAGGACUUGAGUCCUAGCAUUAAAGAGUUCAACAUGUCUAGG